rfam:Streptomyces glaucescens strain GLA.O, complete genome.
GCGAGACAGGUGGUCCCGUGGCGGAGCGCGACCGAUAAACUGUUCCAGGACGACGCCGGGCGCAGCCCCCGACCCGUCCACCAAUGAUCAGCCAGCAGCCGCUGCAACCACAGGGAG